CGGCGACAAAACAGACCGAGGGGUCGACGGUGACGGCGACAAAGCUCGGCCGGCGUCGGCGUCGUCAGCUCCCGGACGCUCGCCACCACGUUGGCCAGCUGACGGUUGGGAAGAAAACCUCCGUGGGGAAAAGAGAAACGCCCACGCCGAGGGGCCGGGCGAUGCUUUUCCUGGAAGCUACGGCGGAGCGAGAGGCCGGCGACGGCACCCGCGGCCUCGCGGGGAGGAGGGGGAAAAGCACCGCGGAGUUUAUCCGACGUUCCCGGCGCUAAAACAACCCCCAAGGACGAGGCCGGCGUGGAUGUGGCGACGGCAGCGAGCCGCGGCGGCGGCGAUCGCCGGGGGGGGUUGGGAGAGGGGGUUUAUUUUGGGGGGGGGGGGGGGGGGGGGUUUACCGCGCUGGCUGUGCCCGGGAGACGCAAAGCGGGGCCGGAGGGUGGCUGCGGAAAGGAGGGAGUAAUGCCGGAGGGUGAGGAGCGAGCCGGGCUCCGGGUGUUAGAGCCGAUACUAGAGCUGGGCUCUGGAUAUUAGAUCAGAUAUUAGAGCCGGGUUCUGGAUAUUAGGGCCAGGCUCCAGGCAUUAGAGCAGAUAUUAGAGCCGGGCUCUGGAUAUUAAGGCCAGGCUCCAGGCAUUAGAGCGGAUAUUAGGGCCGGGCUCCGGAUUUUAGGGCCAGGCUCCAGGCAUUAGAGCAGAUAUUAGAGCCGGGUUCCAGAUUUGAGCCCUCACAGCAGUGAUAAGCCCGGGUCGGGCGGGCGUUUAAAGGGCAAUAAACCCCCCCACCAAACCUCAGCACCCAAAUAGGUGUGAGAACCAAGAAGCAGGGGGUGUGUGGAAAUAAGAGCCGGCUGGAAGAGGUGUUAGGGCAGCCUUAAGCCUCUGGUUCCCACCCCGGGAGGGAAUAAUGAACCUGUGAAAUAAAACUAAUUCAGGGAAUCAAAGCAAAUGAAGGUCUUUGGGCUGGAAGUUUUGCUUUUAUAGAAUGUAGCCCACAUAAAAAUAAUAAUAAUUAUAAAGAAGAACCUAAUCGGGA